GGGUUGUGAGGUUAAGCGACUAAGCGUACACGGUGGAUGCCCUGGCAGUCAGAGGCGAUGAAGGGCGUGCUAAUCUGCGAUAAGCGCCGGUAAGGUGAUAUGAACCGUUAUAACCGGCGAUACCCGAAUGGGGAAACCCAGUGUGAUUCGUCACACUAUCAUUAACUGAAUCCAUAGGUUAAUGAGGCGAACCGGGGGAACUGAAACAUCUAAGUACCCCGAGGAAAAGAAAUCAACCGAGAUUCCCCCAGUAGCGGCGAGCGAACGGGGAGGAGCCCAGAGCCUGAAUCAGCAUGUGUGUUAGUGGAAGCGUCUGGAAAGGCGCGCGAUACAGGGUGACAGCCCCGUACACAAAAGCGCAUGUGCUGUGAGCUCGAUGAGUAGGGCGGGACACGUGGUAUCCUGUCUGAAUAUGGGGGGACCAUCCUCCAAGGCUAAAUACUCCUGACUGACCGAUAGUGAACCAGUACCGUGAGGGAAAGGCGAAAAGAACCCCGGCGAGGGGAGUGAAAAAGAACCUGAAACCGUGUACGUACAAGCAGUGGGAGCACCCUUUUGGGUGUGACUGCGUACCUUUUGUAUAAUGGGUCAGCGACUUAUAUUCUGUAGCAAGGUUAACCGAAUAGGGGAGCCGUAGGGAAACCGAGUCUUAACCGGGCGUUAAGUUGCAGGGUAUA
rnacentral:rRNA from 1 species